UUUAUAUAUAUAUAUAUGUAAUCAGGUAGUUUCUGACAUUUAGAGUAAUCAUUCCAACUGGUAACAGCAAGUCAGAUUUUUUAAAGUCUGGGUAAGUUUGACAAGGGAUCUAGAAAUCUUAUCAAAUUUUCUGCAGUAACUCAGUCCCAUGGAAAAGGUUUCAUAGUCUUGCUCUAUUGAAAUAAAGGCAAGACUGGAUACAAAGUAGAAGGCACAGAUAUUAUAGAACAGUCACAUUUCUUGAAUACAAAGAUCUUAUAAAUUAGAGAAUGAUUAAAAUUGGGAACAGCCAUUUUGCUGGUGCUUUAUUUCUCAGUGCUGACUGUUUCUUGACCAAACAUCUCUAUCUUUUCUAAUGCUGCACCACCAUGUGCUGGAGGAGUCUUUCCUGAACAGCUUUUCUUGUUUCUUCCCAUUUCUGUAGCUUCCACCAAUGUGUUAGUCAAUGGUUUUCCCAGUGUUUCUGGAAGCAUUAUGGUUAAUAUUCCACUCAGAAGAGCCAUGAUUCCAACAAGCAACUGGAAGAAACAAACAGCAGCUGUAAAGGAAAUCAGAUGUUUUCUGCAUGUUACACUGCUGACACAUUGGACUAUCUUCAAACUAUGGAAGUUUACUUUUAUUGUAUCCAGUUUUUUUGUUCUGUCUAUAAUCCUGAAUUAAAACUAACUCAUUGUCAUAA